UAUGGCUCAGAUUGAACGCUGGCGGCAGGCCUAACACAUGCAAGUCGAACGGUAACAGGAAGCAGCUUGCUGUUCGCUGACGAGUGGCGGACGGGUGAGUAAUGUCUGGGAAACUGCCUGAUGGAGGGGGAUAACUACUGGAAACGGUAGCUAAUACCGCAUAACGUCGCAAGACCAAAGAGGGGGACCUUCGGGCCUCUUGCCAUCGGAUGUGCCCAGAUGGGAUUAGCUAGUAGGUGGGGUAACGGCUCACCUAGGCGACGAUCCCUAGCUGGUCUGAGAGGAUGACCAGCCACACUGGAACUGAGACACGGUCCAGACUCCUACGGGAGGCAGCAGUGGGGAAUAUUGCACAAUGGGCGCAAGCCUGAUGCAGCCAUGCCCGCGUGUAUGAAGAAGGCCUUCGGGUUGUAAGGUACUUUCAGCGGGGAGGAAGGGAGUAAAGUUAAUACCUUUGCUCAUUGACGUUACCCGCAGAAGAAGCACCGGCUAACUCCGUGCCAGCCGCGGC
rnacentral:rRNA from 1 species